GGCGGUGUAGCUUAGUUGGCUAGAGCGUACGGUUCAUACCCGUAAGGUCGGGGGUUCAAAUCCCUCCACCGCUACCA
rnacentral:tRNA from 3 species